AUAAUACACUCGUUUCUCUCUCCUCUUUCUCAUACGCCAUUUUCUCUCUACUCAAGUAAUUUUCAAGCAUCCUCGCUUCAAUCAUCAACUUGAACAUCAAGAAUUUGUUUCAAUUUACAUACAUCUUCAAUGAUGAGCUGAAUUCGUUGCAAGAUUUCUCAACGAUAGAGGUUGAAAUUCUUGGAUGGAAAUGGGAUUGUAUUUCAAUGGACUUUGUGACUUGCCUCCCAAAGUCAAAUAGUGGAAACGACACCAUUUGGGUAGUGGUGGAUAGACUUACAAAAUCUGCGGUGUUUAGACCAAUGAAGGAGACUCGGAAGAUGGAACAACUUGCAAAAGCUUAAAUAAAUAAUGUGGUGAGGUUACAUGGAGUUCCAAAAGAUAUUGUGUCUGAUAGAGAUUCUAGGUUUCUUUUAAGGUUUUGGAAAACUUUGGUACAACACUUAAGAUGAGUACAACUUUUCACCCUGCCACAAAUGGGCAAACUGAGAGAACCAUUCAAACCUUGGAAGACAUGUUGAGGGCUUGUGUUAUAGAUUUUCAAGGGGGAUGGGAAGAUAGCUUGGACUUAAUUGAAUUUUCCUAUAAUAAUAGCUACCAUGCAAGCAUUGGCAUGGUUCCAUUUGAGGCAUUAUAUGGAAGGAAGUGUCGCAGUCCAAUCUGUUGGAACGACAUAAGUGAAACAAUGAUUUUAGGGCCUCAAAUGAUCGAGGAUACAGUUUAAAAAGUAAAGGAGAUUCAAGGUAAGAUUCAAGUGGCGCAAGAUCACCAAAAGAGCUACGCGGAUUUGAAGCGUAGAGAGGAGGAAUUUGAGGUCGGUGACAAAGUAUUGUUAAAGGUGUCACCAACGAAAGGUGUAAUGAGAUUUGGAAAGAAAGAUAUAUACACAAAAUUUCUCAAUUAUAAACUUAGUCUUAGAUAAAUCAUAUGACCGACAAUCAAAACGGGUUUCUUUGGGAAAUCUAGAAAGUUUCUUCUCAUAUGGAUUAUAAAAAAUAUAAGAACAAAUGGGGAAUUAUCUCACAAGCUUUUUAAAAGUCCAUCAUAUGGAAAACAGUCCUAACAUACAAGCAAUUCUCACAAGUGUUCACCGAGGCAUUUCAACAAACAGGUUAUGUGCAUUCCACAAAACUUUGAUUGCAUCUCUUUAGAGUAUAGUAAUAAGGAUACCAAAAUAGUUAAGAGGAAUUCAGGGAACAGGACAACCAACACAAACCUGUAACCAUGUUGAUUCUAUAUUGUUUAUGACAGAAUGAAGAGAUAUGCCAAUGUACUUAAAAGUCUUUCCAUCAAGCUUAAAAGUAAAUAGAAUAAUAUAAAACGUAAAUAAAACCCCUAAAAAAAUUCAUGAACAAGAAAUCUAAUUUGGAGAAAUCAAACGCAAUAAAAAAAACAAACUUAAUUCAAAUAGAUAAAAAUGAAGGCCUCGAUUGAGAAAAUAAGAGAAAAUUUCGAAUCACAUAAAAAUCAAACG